rnacentral:rRNA from 1 species
AUUGAACGCUGGCGGCAUGCCUAACACAUGCAAGUCGAACGGCAGCACGGCAGUAGCAAUACUGUGGGUGGCGAGUGGCGGACGGGUGAGGAAUACGUCGGAAUCUGCCCAGUCGUGGGGGAUAACUAGCCGAAAGGUUAGCUAAUACCGCAUACGACCGAGAGGUGAAAGCGGGGGACCGCAAGGCCUCGCGCGAUUGGAUGAGCCGACGUCGGAUUAGCUAGUUGGUGGGGUAAAGGCCCACCAAGGCGACGAUCCGUAGCUGGUCUGAGAGGAUGAUCAGCCACACUGGAACUGAGACACGGUCCAGACUCCUACGGGAGGCAGCAGUGGGGAAUAUUGGACAAUGGGCGCAAGCCUGAUCCAGCAAUGCCGCGUGUGUGAAGAAGGCCUCGGUUGUAAGU